CCCCAACCUUAAUCCCUCUAUAAAUAGAAGUAAGCGAGGAUCCCUCCAGGUAUGCAAUACUCGCUCUAUGCUGAGACUUUGCUUCUCCUUUCAUUGAGUUUCAUCCUUGACUUGAGCGUCAGAGGGUCCUCAUCGGAGCCACCUCCAGUGGGACUUGCCUUGCAGGUCUCGUCUCCCCCGACAGCUAGCAUUCCAUCAAGAUUCGAUCAUACCGGCAUCAUGCGGAGAUCAUCCCCAGCUCAUGUCUCCAGCCCUCACUUUUGCCCUUGACCAUUUUUACUGUGUCCUCUCUUUGGUGGAUGAGUCUCCUUUUCGAUUUUCUGCCACACAUUAGACGCAUCUACUCGGCUCCAGGCCGACCACCCCAUCAUAGAUAGGCUGCAACAUGAGGUUUUCUUCUCAUGGCUUUAUUACAUAUAAGAGGUUUAGUAGCACAACCCACUGCAUAUGGCUCCUGCAACUACAGAGUCUAGAAUGGAUCAGAUGUAUGCAACUUUAAUCCUACAUGC
rnacentral:lncRNA from 1 species